UACUGGUAGAAAUAAUUCAGACAAAAAAUCAAGGAGAUGUACAAUUCACUACACAGAAUAUACUUAGCUACUAUACACCGUUGUCGCUUUACAGUGUUGAUGUUUCAAACAGAACAUACAUACGGUUUCUUGUGAAAGCAAAAGAGUCAGCAUUUGUGGCACUAUGGUCUUCUUCUAAUAUAUCUGACUCCAUGUUUUAUGAAUUUGCAUUGGGAGCUGCAAGUACUGCCAUUUCUUUACGUCGAAAUAAGGUCACGGCGUAUUUUGAGCAUUUUACGCCUGGUACAUGGAUGAGCAAUGCGGAAUUCAUGCCUUUUUGGAUAAGUUGGGAAAAUGGAGUUAAGGAAAUUGGAACCUCAUCAGAACUUUCCAAAGAAAAAAGAAAAAGCUGGCCAGACCCAAAUCCAUUGAAUGUUUCUUCUGCAGGAAUACUGACAGGGUGGGGACAGGAUGGGGAAUGGAUAAUCUAUCCAUAUAAAGUUGAAGAAGAGAGUUCCCGUAGUUGUUCUAGUAUGGUGCACAAGAAGACCAACAUAAGUUCUGAAGCUGCAAAUACCAAAGCGAGACGGUUGAAAGAAUAAUUAGUGAUUAAAAAGGAUAGUUUAUCUAGAUUCGAAAGAAGAAAGAUCAGUGUCGGCGAUUAUCGUGGUUCAUCAAAACACACCGGAUACAUAGCAGCAGCUGUUCUUACAUUCAUACUGGUUGGUAUCUGUUCUUUGGAUUGUUUCUCUGUACGAAGAAAAUAAGAGUUGAUUGUCGAUAAUCCUAACGGUUAUCUGUCAAAUUACAUAAAGUAUCUCAUUUUG